rnacentral:rRNA from 1 species
CAGCAGCCGCCGCGGUAAUACGAAGGGGGCUAGCGUUGUUCGGAAUUACUGGGCGUAAAGCGCACGUAGGCGGACAUUUAAGUCAGGGGUGAAAUCCCGGGGCUCAACCCCGGAACUGCCUUUGAUACUGGGUGUCUAGAGUAUGGAAGAGGUGAGUGGAAUUCCGAGUGUAGAGGUGAAAUUCGUAGAUAUUCGGAGGAACACCAGUGGCGAAGGCGGCUCACUGGUCCAUUACUGACGCUGAGGUGCGAGAGCGUGGGGAGCAAACAGGAUUAGAUACCCCUGUAGUCCCUGUCUCUUAUAC